rnacentral:rRNA from 1 species
UACGUAGGGUGCAAGCGUUAUCCGGAUUUAUUGGGCGUAAAGGGCUCGUAGGCGGUUCGUCGUGUCCGGUGUGAAAGUCCAUCGCUUAACGGUGGAUCCGCGCCGGGUACGGGCGGGCUUGAGUGCGGUAGGGGAGACUGGGAUUCCCGGUGUAACGGUGGAAUGUGUAGAUAUCGGGAAGAACACCAAUGGCGAAGGCAGGUCUCUGGGCCGUUACUGACGCUGAGGAGCGAAAGCGUGGGGAGCGAACAGG